UUUAAAAACUAUAAAACAUGGUUCGUCAGUGCCAAAUUUGUAAGAAAUUGGACUAUUUAAGUCCUGGAACAACAUUCCACAGAUUAUGCUGCCAAAGUUUCCUGAAUACAAUUCCGACCACUCUGUAUAUCAAGAUAUCCCCCAUUACGUACUAGUUUUUCUUAAUAAUUUUCUAUACAUUUUCCAACGCCAAGAUGUACCAAGCGCAUACAAAUACAUCAAGCUUCAAACAAGCUUGCACGUUGACAGUAAUACCUACAGUAAUAUUGUAUUAUAUUAAUGUAAUAUUUUUGAACCAAUGUUCAAUAUUACUGUAGUAAUACUGUUUAUACUCAUGCCUUUUAUAUUUGUUUGAAUUUGGUGCAUAUUUCCAUUGAAUAAAGUAUAGUCACCAUUACCAUUAUUAUACUUACUCUAUAAUAAAGACAGUAACGAGUUAAA